UACAGAGGUCCCGAGCGUUGUUCGGAUUCACUGGGCGUAAAGGGCGCGUAGGCGGCGCGGUAAGUCACUUGUGAAAUCUCUGAGCUUAACUCAGAACGGCCAAGUGAUACUGCAGUGCUAGAGUGUGGAAGGGGCAAUCGGAAUUCUUGGUGUAGCGGUGAAAUGCGUAGAUAUCAAGAGGAACACCUGAGGUGAAGACGGGUUGCUGGGCCAACACGUGACGCUGAUGCGCGAAAGCCAGGGGAGCAAACGGGAUUAGACGUACCCUAG
rnacentral:rRNA from 1 species